rnacentral:rRNA from 1 species
GUCUAUGGCCAUGCCCCCUGAAUGAGCCUGAUCUCAUCUGAUCUUGGAAGCUAAGCAGGUUAGUACUUGGAUGGGAGACCACCUAGGAAGACUAGAUACUGUAGGUG